UGGGCAAUUCCAAAGUGCUCACAGUGCAGGUAGUUGCAAAUGAUCUACUGCAGUGUGUGCACUUGCAGUAUUGCUGG
rnacentral:pre_miRNA from 1 species